UGGGAGCACGCUUAGGGGUGUGACUGCGUACCUUUUGUAUAAUGGGUCAGCGACUUAUAUUCUGUAGCAAGGUUAACCGAAUAGGGGAGCCGAAGGGAAACCGAGUCUUAACUGGGCGUUAAGUUGCAGGGUAUAGACCCGAAACCCGGUGAUCUAGCCAUGGGCAGGUUGAAGGUUGGGUAACACUAACUGGAGGACCGAACCGACUAAUGUUGAAAAAUUAGCGGAUGACUUGUGGCUGGGGGUGAAAGGCCAAUCAAACCGGGAGAUAGCUGGUUCUCCCCGAAAGCUAUUUAGGUAGCGCCUCGUGAAUUCAUCUCCGGGGGUAGAGCACUGUUUCGGCAAGGGGGUCAUCCCGACUUACCAACCCGAUGCAAACUGCGAAUACCGGAGAAUGUUAUCACGGGAGACACACGGCGGGUGCUAACGUCCGUCGUGAAGAGGGAAACAACCCAGACCGCCAGCUAAGGUCCCAAAGUCAUGGUUAAGUGGGAAACGAUGUGGGAAGGCCCAGACAGCCAGGAUGUUGGCUUAGAAGCAGCCAUCAUUUAAAGAAAGCGUAAUAGCUCACUGGUCGAGUCGGCCUGCGCGGAAGAUGUAACGGGGCUAAACCAUGCACCGAAGCUGCGGCAGCGACGCUGAUGCGUUGUUGGGUAGGGGAGCGUUCUGUAAGCCUGCGAAGGUGUGCUGUGAGGCAUGCUGGAGGUAUCAGAAGUGCGAAUGCUGACAUAAGUAACGAUAAAGCGGGUGAAAAGCCCGCUCGCCGGAAGACCAAGGGUUCCUGUCCAACGUUAAUCGGGGCAGGGUGAGUCGACCCCUAAGGCGAGGCCGAAAGGCGUAGUCGAUGGGAAACAGGUUAAUAUUCCUGUACUUGGUGUUACUGCGAAGGGGGGACGGAGAAGGCUAUGUUGGCCGGGCGACGGUUGUCCCGGUUUAAGCGUGUAGGCUGGUUUUCCAGGCAAAUCCGGAAAAUCAAGGCUGAGGCGUGAUGACGAGGCACUGCGGUGCUGAAGCAACAAAUGCCCUGCUUCCAGGAAAAGCCUCUAAGCAUCAGGUAACAUCAAAUCGUACCCCAAACCGACACAGGUGGUCAGGUAGAGAAUACCAAGGCGCUUGAGAGAACUCGGGUGAAGGAACUAGGCAAAAUGGUGCCGUAACUUCGGGAGAAGGCACGCUGAUAUGUAGGUGAAGUCCCUCGCGGAUGGAGCUGAAAUCAGUCGAAGAUACCAGCUGGCUGCAACUGUUUAUUAAAAACACAGCACUGUGCAAACACGAAAGUGGACGUAUACGGUGUGACGCCUGCCCGGUGCCGGAAGGUUAAUUGAUGGGGUUAGCGCAAGCGAAGCUCUUGAUCGAAGCCCCGGUAAACGGCGGCCGUAACUAUAACGGUCCUAAGGUAGCGAAAUUCCUUGUCGGGUAAGUUCCGACCUGCACGAAUGGCGUAAUGAUGGCCAGGCUGUCUCCACCCGAGACUCAGUGAAAUUGAACUCGCUGUGAAGAUGCAGUGUACCCGCGGCAAGACGGAAAGACCCCGUGAACCUUUACUAUAGCUUGACACUGAACAUUGAGCCUUGAUGUGUAGGAUAGGUGGGAGGCUUUGAAGUGUGGACGCCAGUCUGCAUGGAGCCGACCUUGAAAUACCACCCUUUAAUGUUUGAUGUUCUAACGUUGACCCGUAAUCCGGGUUGCGGACAGUGUCUGGUGGGUAGUUUGACUGGGGCGGUCUCCUCCUAAAGAGUAACGGAGGAGCACGAAGGUUGGCUAAUCCUGGUCGGACAUCAGGAGGUUAGUGCAAUGGCAUAAGCCAGCUUGACUGCGAGCGUGACGGCGCGAGCAGGUGCGAAAGCAGGUCAUAGUGAUCCGGUGGUUCUGAAUGGAAGGGCCAUCGCUCAACGGAUAAAAGGUACUCCGGGGAUAACAGGCUGAUACCGCCCAAGAGUUCAUAUCGACGGCGGUGUUUGGCACCUCGAUGUCGGCUCAUCACAUCCUGGGGCUGAAGUAGGUCCCAAGGGUAUGGCUGUUCGCCAUUUAAAGUGGUACGCGAGCUGGGUUUAGAACGUCGUGAGACAGUUCGGUCCCUAUCUGCCGUGGGCGCUGGAGAACUGAGGGGGGCUGCUCCUAGUACGAGAGGACCGGAGUGGACGCAUCACUGGUGUUCGGGUUGUCAUGCCAAUGGCACUGCCCGGUAGCUAAAUGCGGAAGAGAUAAGUGCUGAAAGCAUCUAAGCACGAAACUUGCC
rnacentral:rRNA from 1 species